rnacentral:snoRNA from 1 species
GAAUGGUAAUGGAUUUAUGCUGAUCUUUUCUUUUUGGGCUUUUCAUAGUGUAAUCGUGCUGGAGUAAAGUGCAGUCUUGAACCAUUUCCCACCAUCCUCACCUGUGAACUGUGAGCACUGAAGGGAAUUGUACAGUU